AUGCCAGCCAGCCUAGAAGGCAACCAGAGGUCGACACUGAGCUUUGCUGCUUCAGCGAUGGGAGCUGUGCUGAGCGCGGGACCCCACCUGCAUUUCUCCAGGCAUGGGAGAGGAGAAAAUCUACCAAAGGUCAGACUCUUCCCAAGAAGCCAACCCAUCCCAGGCCUGAACUUUAUGGACGCAUCCUCCCCACAUCCCCAGUUUUGGGAUGCAAGGCACACUGGAAAAUCUCCAGAGAGCUGCCAGCCUCCACAGCUCGCCCAGCCCAGAGGCCGCAGGGUCUCCGAGACUGAAAUUGAUCUCUGUUGCUUUGGAUGGACGUAGUUCCCAGAGUGGAACCAAGUGGCUGAAGGAUCUAUGUGCCUUGAGGAUUCCUGAUACCAGAGGCUAAAACGUUUCCUUUAACACUGUAUCAACUUCAAUGCUAUCAACAAUAAAUGUUCCACAUACAAAUCAAUGAUCAUGAUAUUGCUUUGUAUAUGUGCAUUUAUACAGUUUUCUCAGAUCCCCCAGAUUGACUGCCCGGCUCUUUCUUUGCUUAUUGGAAGUCCACAAAAAUCUUCUCCUUUCUCAUAUGGAAGCAACUCUCACUCAUUUACUACUUAACUCAUUCUUUAGACUCAGUGAGGGCAGGAGGCAUAGCUUAGAAUUUCCUUUCCCAGUUUAGCACCUUUUCAGUAGGUUUUAAGAAGCAAAGACUCAAUCAGGUUAGCUUAAGCAAUGGAGGCAUCACAUAAAAAUCAAGUGACACUAUCAAACCCAGAUAUGCCUUUUUGGAGUCCCAAAGAGGUAAGAGGAAAAGAAAG
rnacentral:lncRNA from 1 species